AGAACGAACGCUGGCGGCAUGCCUAACACAUGCAAGUCGAACGAGACCUUCGGGUCUAGUGGCGCACGGGUGCGUAACGCGUGGGAAUCUGCCCUUGGGUUCGGGAUAACAGUUGGAAACGACUGCUAAUACCGGAUGAUGACUUCGGUCCAAAGAUUUAUCGCCCAGGGAUGAGCCCGCGUAAGAUUAGCUAGUUGGUGGGGUAAAGGCCUACCGAAGGCGACGAUCUUUAGCUGGUCUGAGAGGAUGAUCAGCCACACGUGGGACUGAGACCACGGCCCAGACCUCCUACGGGAGGCAGCAGUGGGAAUAUUGACAAGUGGGACGAAGCCUGA
rnacentral:rRNA from 1 species